UUUCAGACUUUAUUUUCUUAAUGUGUCUUUUAUUUAUUUUCAAUUGCAUUUUUUUUAUCAGUUCCAUUGCUGCGAAUCACAUUUUCUAAAAUAGCAAAUAUCAAGAAUCUAUUGGCGAUGUUCCCACCGUGUUUUCCCUUAAUCCAUGUCUCAGAAAUAGAAGAGAAUAUAUCAUUACUACAUGACUUUUAACCCGGAUGAUUACAACUUUAGCUCUGUUGAAUACAUUUGGACUACACAAUUACCCUCACUGCCAAAUUUGUAAUCUUGAAAAUAACAUUGAACAUAUCAUCAUGUUUUGUUCCAAAUACACAAAUCAUAGGUCAAAUCUUUUAGCAAAACUUAAUAUCGGUCUUCAUUCUUGCUCUUCAUUCAAAACGUUUAUUCAAAAAGCUGUUACUAAUAAGCAGUAUCUCCGGGUACUUCUACAAUCUCUGAAAUUUUUUAACAUCUAUUGAAUGGACUCUUUCGGAGGGAUAACGGCCUUUGUUGCCAAAAUUCCCAUUCUCAUCCAAUUUCAAUCAACCAAUCAAUUCCGUAUCUGCUUUUUCAGGACUCGGAAUUUCUUGUACAUUUCUUUACAGGACAUUAAUGAAUCUUGAAUUGUACUUUUGGUGUUGUUUAUUUAAAGGCUGAGGUUUAUUGAAAAUAGAAAGGAGAGAAGUAUCCACAUUCCUACCUUGCUUGUGGAGAUGUUGCGUGGAAAAAAGGCCAUGAUAUCUGUCUUGGUGUUGCUGGAAAUUCUUAUAUGUUUUUGCUCUUGUAUUGUCUGAGGGAUAAUCAGAAAUACUUGCACUAUACUCUGCAAUUUGCUAACUUUCUGACAUGCUGAAUUUGAAUGAUGUAUGAUCAGGAAUGUGCACAGACUAUAGUUUCAUUUAAAAUUUUUAUUGUAUUGUGAAUAUUCCUUUUUGUGGCGGCUGUGCUUUGUUUUUCAUGUUCUUGUUGAUUAGAACAGACAAAAACACUGGAAUAGUUAUUGGUAAUUAAAAAUGUUAAAAUGUCA